GUGUCGCGGUCGUACCCUCCGCCCUCUGCGCCGAGAGCCGCUGCCGCCCGAGACCUUCGAGGGCUCCUCGCCCCUGCUUCCUGGGAGACCCUCUCCGCUGGGAGAGUCGCAGUCACGGAGCCGGGGGACACCUGUACGGGCAGGCGGCCGGCGAAGGCCCGGCCCGAGAGGAAGCGGGCCCCGAACGCCGCAACUGCCUGGGAAGCGGCUUUGCGUGCCCUGCAGUUGAGAACACGGCGCCCUCGCCCCAGCCUGGUCCUCGCUCUAGAUCCCGACCCUGACGCAGCCUGGGGAAGCCUACAAAGCCCCUCUCAAAAUAUUUUUAGAUGAAUAAAAUAACAAGAUUAGGAAGGAAGGCUACUAUG
rnacentral:lncRNA from 1 species